UAUAGAAUCAUAGAAUUGCUCAGACCCACAGGAUCAUCCAGUCCAACCAUUCGCCCUUCACCAAUGGUUCUCGCUAAACCAUGUCCCUCAACACAACAUCCAAACGCUCUUUGAACACCACCAGGCUCGGUGACUCCACCACCUCUCUGGGCAGCCCAUUCCAGUGCCUGACCACCCUUUCAGAGAAGUAGUAUUUCCUAACGUCCAGCCUGAAUCUUCCCUGGUGCAGCUUGAAGCCCUUCCUUCUAGUCCUAUCACUAGUCACCUGAGA
ensembl:lncRNA